rnacentral:rRNA from 1 species
AUUGAACGCUGGCGGCAUGCUUUACACAUGCAAGUCGAACGGCAGCGCGGGCUUCGGCCUGGCGGCGAGUGGCGAACGGGUGAGUAAUGCAUCGGAACGUGCCCAGUAGUGGGGGAUAGCCCGGCGAAAGCCGGAUUAAUACCGCAUACGACCUGAGGGUGAAAGCGGGGGACCGAAAGGCCUCGCGCUAUUGGAGCGGCCGAUGUCGGAUUAGCUAGUUGGUGGGGUAAAGGCUUACCAAGGCGACGAUCCGUAGCUGGUCUGAGAGGACGACCAGCCACACUGGGACUGAGACACGGCCCAGACUCCUACGGGAGGCAGCAAUGGGGAAUUUUGGACAAUGGGGGCAACCCUGAUCCAGCCAUGCCGCGUGCGGGAAGAAGGCCUUCGGGUUGUAAACCGCUUUUGUUCGGGAAGAAAUCCUCUGGGCUAAUACCCCGGGGGGAUGACGGUACCGGAAGAAUAAGCACCGGCUAACUACGUG